rnacentral:lncRNA from 1 species
UCUGGAAACAUGACCAGUGCCCCUUCCAUUCACCAGGCUGUUUCAGUAUACAUACAUAUAUAUAAAGUUAGGCAGUGUUAAGGCUACAGAAAAUAUAGCAAAAGGCACUGGAAAAGUCCAAGCAUUCGCAAUUAUGGUUUGUUGAAACCUCAGAACUCUGAUUUUCAAAUUAAUUCAAGUCAUUCUGAAUUUGGCAAAGGAAUAAACUCUGUUUUCUUGAAGUUCUCUUCCCAAGGCCCCAACCCAUGUUCCCUGGAGGCAGGAUUGCGGGUACAAAGUUCAGAUUUUCUCAAACAGAUCCCAGUGACUCUCAUGAUCUUCUGACUCAUAUUGAUGAUCUACCCAGGCUUUUGUGAUAAAAAUCUUCAGAUUCAUUACUCUGAGCCUUCAAAUAGGUCUCGUCUUUCUUCCCUAUCAGUGAUUAAUGAUCCACAUGAACUUGCCUUUUGUUUUUCUUCUUUUUUGGUUCCUCAUAUUUUAUAAUACACUUAGCCUUGAGUUAUACAGCCUUAUCCAAUAAUUCUUAUCCACAGAAGAAUUAUUGGCAUUCAUCUCCAGCCAUCUAUAAAUCUCCUUCAUCUUCCCAGCUGCCUUUUUGUUUACCCCUAAAUGUGCUUUCUGUUCUCUUUCUAACAAAUCCUCCUCACUCCACUUUACCCCCAUUCUGCCUUAAGGUUUUACUGGCCAAAUCUCAGCUUAGCAAAUAUUGCUCAUCUUGGCUUUCCUGGGACCUAAUAGUCAGGACCUAAUAUAAUGUAUGAAAAAAAAAUUGCUUUGGUCAGAGAAUUGCUUCUCUUCAUAGCAUGCAACUAAGGCAUGUUACAUGGAUAUAUAUUUUUUCUUUGGAACACUUUCUGUCAUAGGUGCUAGUGGCCUGAGAGCUUAAGUAAUAUUUCAGGAGUUUUGCAAUUUACCAGUUCGAGCUCCUAUCCAGAAACUGGAGGAUCUCUCCAAUGGACCAACCUAAUAGUUUGAUUUCAGAUCCAUCCCAUUGUGCUAAAAGAAAGUACAAAUAAGUAGAUAAAAUAUGCAUAUAAAUACACAAAGCUAGAGCAAAAUGGUCAAAUUAUGGGCAGCUCCGAGGAUAACUUUCUUAUCAGCUCCCCUAGUGCACAUUUUACCAAGGCAGUUCCAUUAGUAGUACUUCUUUUGGUUGAACAGGGCUGAGCACUCAAGUCUUGCUGCACAGCUCCUCCUGUUGACUUGUGUUGGUCAGACCUUACCUCCAGUCAGGUGCUUGCUGACACAGUGCCACUCUGUGUAAAGCCCCCCAGGAGGCAAGAUCAGAAAUUGAAUGGAAGCAUUUAGAAGCUUUAAAGCAAUUUCAUCUCUAUUGAAUCUAAUAACAAAAAAAAUUGUUAUGAUGAUGCAUAUGCCUUUGAUUUUUAAAAUAGUUUUUCUAGUUAUUCAAGAUGUGCUCACUCUAUUUUAUAAAAGUACUAGCUUGGGAUGGAUUGGAAUUUUGUUCUUUUAAUGACCCUUCAGUUGGUUUGAGAAACACAAAGGCCAAAGGCAGUGCCCCAGUUUGGCCAUCAAAUUGGCAAAUGCAUCAUAGUGUUCACCUAUACCCACCAGCAAGACAAGGUGGUGCUUUAUACUCUGCAGUGCACAUAGUGAAAACAAUAUUCUUCCAUUUCCCAAUAUAAAAUUGCACCAUCAUGCUUUUUCAAACCAUACAGGGUAAAGUGGUUUGGGUGCCAUCCCUCUGCCUGCCAAAAGUGGCUGGUGGGAAGGAAAGCAUAGGAAACUCAGAGCAGGCAGACCUGGGCUCAAGCCCUAGAUCUCUUUCAUAUAACAAUAAAAUUGUCCAAGUCCUUUCAACUAUCUAAGCUUUUGUUUCAUUCCCUUAAAAUAGGAAUAAAUGUACCUAUUUAUUUUAAUUUAUGGGGUGGUUAUAAGAAAUAUUUACUCCUUUACUUACUCAGUAAUACUUAUAAACAUCUAUGUGUAUUAAACACCAUGCAUCAGGCAGAAUAGUCAUAGGGAAACAUAACAGAUAUGGUUGGCAGCUAGACAUCCAGUGUAAUAACAACAAAAAUAAACAAGUAGACCAACAGUGAUAUCAUUGCAUAUAUGGCAAGUGCUACAAAGGAAAUGAACAGGAUGCUAUGAGAGAGAUAAUUAACACAGGUGGGCUGGGUUGGGGUGAGAGAACAAGUUGAGACAGCAGGACAUAGAUCUGAACAAAUAGAUCUGAAGGGAAGUUCUUGAUGCAGAAAUCUGAAGAAUAAGAAGCCACCAAUGCCCUAAAGACCAAAAGGAAGGGUGUUCCUGGAGGAGGGAACAGCAAGUACAAAGACUCUGAGGGAAAGGAGUUGGGAGUUCAAGCUGAAGGAGACUGUUACUAGAGACAAGCGAUGGAGUAUCUUGAGAUGAGGGUGAAAAAACAACAGGAAUGUUGUAGAUUAUUUCCCUAGUUUUCAUAAUCACCUCCAAAAGCAUCACACCUUUUUUUUUUUUUUUUUUUUUUUUUUUUUUUUUUUUUUUUUUACACUGGAGGAAAAUGAGUUGAAGAGAUUAAAUGAUUUGACUGAGCACCUGGAAUGGCAGGGUGAUGACUCAGCACUGGACCUAGGGCCAUCUAUGUUGCAUAGCGCUAUGAGUUACUGGGAUAGUAAAAAGAGGAAAUACAAGAUUUCUCUGGAAAGCAAAGUAAGUCAAUAUAUUCACCAUCAAAGAUCGAAGCUUUGACGUAAGUUCUGUUAUCUUCAUGGACCCCUGAACUUCAUGCUAAUCUAAGUGGAAAAUGUGUUGAGUUGUUUAUCAGGCUCCAAAGGUUUGAAACCUCAAGCACAUUAUGUAUGAAAAAAUGGGAGAGUGGAAAAGUUGGUUUUGCUUCUGAAAAGGAUAAUGUGAUGAAUCACUGUUUAAAUGAACCUGUGGAGCUUGGCAAAGCUUUAAAAUGGACCAUUUAAUUGUGUCAUCCUGAGUCCUUAACUUUAUAGUGCCUGGAAGAAGACUGUCUCUGUGAAGUGGUGGUGGGGGGAUAAAUGCUGCUCUGUGAUUUUGAGAUGAGAACAAUAGCUCAAGAUGUGAGGAGGAAAUUGGUGUAUUGGAUUCUGAAAUAAAUUGCAGCCCUCAGGAGCUCUUUGAGAAGCCUGGAAAGUUCUGUCAAGCAGAAAGCCACUGUGAGUGGGUUUGUGAGACUGGUGGGUAGCUGCGUCCCACUUUUAGGAAAAUAUCUUGAUGAAAGGAAUGUCCUGAAUGAAAAACCAAUAGGAAUGGAUCAUCCCAAGCCUCUCUCUUCUUUUUACCUUUUUUACUACUGGGAACUUCUUUUCUCAAUUCUGUAAUGACCUGCUUCAAGUAAACUAAAAUAAUGUGAGUUUAAGACUGUGAUUCCCAACCAGGGUGAUUUUAUGCCACCUCCACCACCAUUCCUCCAGGUAUAUGGCAAUGUCUGGGGGCAUUUGUUGCCACAGGGAGAGGGUGCUCCUAGCAUCUGGGGGUAGACGCUAAACAUCCUACAAAUUAUAGGACUUCUCUCUCAACACAGAAUUAGCUGACCCCAAAUGAUAACAGUACUGACAAAAGGCAACUGGCCUUGAUUUAAGGUCAACUCUUUUUGCUUUUUAUUUUAUUUUUUUUUUGUCUUUUUUUUUUUUUUUUUUUUUUUGCCUUUUCUAGGGUUGCUUCUGGCAGCAUAUGGAGGUUCCCAGGCUAGGGGUCUAAUCAGAGCUAUAGCCGCCGGUCUACGCCAGAGCCACAGCAACACAGGAUCCGAGCUGCGUUCGCAACCUACACCACAGCUCACAGCAACACCAGAUCCUUAACCCACUGAGCAAGGCCAGGGAUCGAACCCGCAACCUCAUGGUUCCUAGUCGGAUUCGUUAACCACUGCGCCAUGAUGGGAACUCCCAACUCUUUUUGUUUUUUAAGUUGUCCAAGUCAGUCAUAUUUGUAAUGACUCCCAAGACCAACCUGGAAGGCUCAACAUGUGGGUAAUCCACACUUGCAAUGCCGAUUUCUUAAAAACUUAUGAAAAUUAUAUUCACUCCCCUAAAUCAGGAAUCAUACAACACUUGCUGCCAUGGGUCUCAUAUAAUUAUACGAGAAACUAUGUGAUUAUAUUUAUUUAUUUUUUGCUAAUAUUUUAAUAAAAUCAUGGUAAUGUAUCAUAUAGUCAGAUACCAUCCCCUCUGUAAAGCAACAGAACAAAGCACAGCAAAAUGCACCAAAUGGAUAUUAUGCAUAUAUUCAGGAUUUUUUUAUAUUCUUGGACGUUAUCAGGCUCCAGAGAGAUAAAUGUAUUUCAGGAUCCCAGGACCACUAACUCAUCAGAGUCUCAAAGAAAACUGUUUCAAUUCUCAUAAAAUUCUUUGUCAGGAAAAUUAAAAACUACUAUUUUCUGAGCUUAUUUCUUUUCUUACUAGUUUCUCCCCUUGGUGUUUUACAUGAUUGAUUUUAUUUAAGACUCACGAGCGUCCUACAAUGUAAGUGUUAGUAGCCUUAUUUUAGAGAUGUGUUGUCUCAGAUAUACAAGAGUAACAGAACUCACACAAUUUAGUGAAUUCCAGUGUAUCACACUGUUUUCUAUCCCAGCUUCAUCUCCUUUUUGAGGUCACAGAUACUAAGUCAGAGAUAACUGAGGAGGUCUUUUGGAAAUGGAAUACAAAGCAGAGAAACAGACUACAGCUAAUCUGCAUUAUAUGUUUACAUCGUAUUAUAUAUAGUUAUGUAUUAUGUAUAGCAAUACAUAUUGUACGCUAUAUAUCAUAUUGUUAUACUGUAUCAUAUAAUUGAAAGUUGCUAAGAGAAUAGAUACUAAAGGUUCUCAUCAGAGGAAGAAAAAUUUUCUAUGUGUGGUGAUAGAUGUUAACUAGACAUCGUGGUGAUCACUGUGCAAAUAUACAUAUAUCAAAUCAUUAUGUUGUAUACCUAAAACUAAGGUAAAAUGUUAUGUGUCAAUUAUACCUCAUUUUUAAAAAACCACUACUGAUAUGAAAAAGGGAAAUAACAAAACCAACAUGACAAAAUGUCGUCCUAGUCAUGGCCAUAAAAAGAAAUGGCCAAAACUGGUUUAAGUUUUAGGUCUUUCAGCACAUGCACUGAUGUUUACAACUCAUCCACCACAUAACUGUGAACAGC